AGGUCAAAGCUCAGUAGUAAAGCAUGAGACUCUUAAUCUUAGGGCUGUAGGUUCGAGCCCCACACUGGACUA